CAAAGGGUAGAAAGACUUCCGUCCUUGUCUGACCACGAUAAUGGCAGCCGUCUCCCUACAAGUAUUCAGUCAGUCAAGAUGUUCUUCUGUGUAGAGGCUAAUCCAGAGUGGAAACCAGAUUCAACUAAUUCUACAUGAUUAGAAUAUUUGGAGCAGUUCAUAAUAGUAAGAUGCAUAGGUUUCAAAAUAUCAAUCAUAGUCCUGGGAGGUAAGGGUUACAUUAAACUCUAUUAUGUAUCAUGGUUACAUUAAACUAACAUGUAUGAUGAUAAAAUUUAACUCUAACAUGUUUUAUGUUACAUUAAUCUGACAUGUAUCAUGAUAACAUUAAACUCUUGACAUGUAUCAUGUUAGAUUAAACUUUAACAUGUAUCAUGGUUACAUUAAACUAACAUGUAUCAUGGUUACAUUAAACUAACUAAUGAUAUUGUCUGCUGUUCUGAAAUGUAACUGUAUUGUUUAUCUCUAAAUAGGAUUAUAUUCUCAACUUCUGAAGAAAAAGAAAACACCGGAACAGAAUAAGAAGCUGGAGAGAUUAUAUCCUCGAUUUGUGGAGAAAAGGAAAACACUGGAUAUUCAGUUAACUGGUAAGU